CGAAACGAAAGUGUAGUCUAUUAUAUUUAGGAAAACAGAAUGAAAAACUAUCA
rnacentral:ribozyme from 1 species